CCCGCUGAACUUAAGCAUAUCAAUAAGCGGAGGAAAAGAAACUAACAAGGAUUCCCCUAGUAACUGCGAGUGAACCGGGAAAAGCUCAAAUUUUGAAUCUGGCAGUCCUUGAGGCUGUCCGAGUUGUAAUCUAGAGAAGCGUUUUCCGCGCUGGACCGUGUAUAAGUUUCCUGGAAAGGAACGUCAUAGAGGGUGAAAAUCCCGUCUUUGACACGGACUCCCAGGGCUAUGUGAUGCGCUCUCGACGAGUCGAGUUGUUUGGGAAUGCAGCUCAAAUAGGGUGGUAAAUUCCAUCUAAAGCUAAAUACAGGCGAGAGACCGAUAGCGAACAAGUACCGUGAGGGAAAGAUGAAAAGAACUUUGGAAAGAGAGUUAAACAGUACGUGAAAUUGCUGAAAGGGAAACGCUUGAUGUCAGUCGCGUCGGCCGGGGAUCAGCCUUGCUUAACCGCUCGGCGUACUUCCUGGCAGACGGGUCAGCAUCAGUUUCGACCGUCGGAGAAUGGCUCGGGGAAUGUGGCACUCUUUCGGGAGUGUGUUAUAGACUCGAGUCGAAUGCGACGGUCGGGACUGAGGAACUCAGCACGACCUUAGGGUUCGGGACUUCGGUCCACGUUUGCGUGCUUAGGAUGCUGGCAUAAUGGCCUUAAGCGACCCGUCUUGAAACACGG
rnacentral:rRNA from 1 species